GUAUGUAUGCGUAUGUAUGUACGUAUGCAUGUAUGUGUAUAUAUGGAAAUGGAUUUUUGUUGGUGGCUAGUGACAUUACACCACACAACCUGGCAACAUGAGCAUUGUUAUCAAUGCUUUGUAAGGAGUACUGCAUUGUCUUUGUUGUCAUGUCCCUUUUCCCUUGCCUUUUCUUUGACACCAUCAUGGAACUUUCACAUCGCUAACUUUGUUACUGCUCAGUCCACUUGCUGCUAUAUUAAACAAUACCAGGACCCUGGGGAGGUAGAACUGUGAUGACAACUAAGCCACACCAGCAUGGUUGGGUGAAGUCUACUCAAACAAACAUGGGGGGAAACAACAGCCAAUGUCUUCCCAUUCUAGCUGUUCUUCAAAGCCAAUCAAAACACACUGUCAUGCGAAUUAGGAAACAAACCAACCCCAAGGAAAGAGCACAGACCCAACGCCCCCAUUAUAAUUGGUACCCCCAUCAGAGUCUCAUGUAAAGGCCACUUUAUCCACAGCACUACAUUCCCAUGAAAUCAGACUGCACGCCAAGAAGGACCAAAGAGAGAGAGUCCUGGCAAGGCAGCAGUCAACAUCAUGAGACUUUUUGUUCCUCCCCUUGGUGGUGAUCAGCUUUACUCAAAGAGAAGAUAUCAGCUCUCUUUCUUCAGCAAGAGGAAGACAGCAAUAAUGAGAACAAAAGGAAAGCAAACAAGAGGACUGCAGGAGAGCCAAAAGAAGACCUCAAUCCCACGACCCAUGAGAGGCCAGGUCCUGGUGAUGACUUCUUAAAGAAGAACCCUCGUGAUAUAAAAUUAACAUCAAAAUGAGCAUUUUUUCUCACUUAAAUGACCUUUUGCUACCCAGGCGGUUUCUCUACGUAUUUUGUAAAAUGUCCCGAAAUUUUUGUAAUCUAAGGUCAUAAUACUUCAAUCUGGCACUUUGGUUUAUCUCCUCUUUUUCAUCACAUCACUUACCAAGUAACUUUAAUUUUAACAUCAAGCACUACACAAGUUCAAGUACUUGAGGCCAUUAAACGAGGGGGGGAACUAGAAGUAAUGGAGGAACACAUCAUGACAGAAACAGUUGCCGACAUUCUUUAAUGUUAGAUAUGAUGAAAAUCUCUGUUAAUUAAUAGAGCGGUUUCCACAAACACUAUUCAUUACCCAUAUACUGCAUCAAAUAAAUCUGAAGCACAGAGAUUAAAUCAUUUAACUAAAACAUCAAAUAAAUUAAAAAACGUACCCAGGGGGAGAGAGAGAGAGAGAGAGAGAGAGAGAGAGCCUCUAAUGGAACAAGAUAACAUUUUUACAAGCAAAGCAAAUUUACUAGUGUACCGUAUUGGUAACUAAAACAUCAAUAGAAUCGAAGUAUCAGGAAUAGAAGAGAACCUAAGGUUCGCGUUGCUCAAUGUAUUUAAAAAGAAAA